CACCUGCGGAGAAGGAGAAGAAAAAGAAAAAAACAAAAACAACACCAAAAGAAACACAACAAGAAAAGAAAAAAGUUGUUGUGGAGGAUUCACCUCCUGAAGAAGAUCAAUACUUUGACGGUGAGAGAUAUGAAAUAUCAAGUGACGAAAUCGAUGAAUGGCUAAGGGGAAACGUUGAUAAAUCUGCUGCGGAGGG